UUUAAAUGUAAUCAUGAGUUUUCAUACCCAACUUUAAUCGUCCAUCUUAUUUAAAAUUUUUCUAUGAAACAUAUGAAUAGUACUUUAUGCGUAGCUUAUGUUUUUAAAUUUUUUUAAAAAUAUUUUUAAAUAAGAUAGACGAUUAAAGUUGGACACGGAAACUCAUGACAAUGCUUAAA
rfam:Oryza punctata chromosome 3, whole genome shotgun sequence.